rnacentral:rRNA from 1 species
AUUGAACGCUGGCGGCAGGCCUAACACAUGCAAGUCGAACGGUAACAGGAAGCGCCUUGCUGCUUUGCUGACGAGGGGCGGGCGGGUGAGAAAUGUCGGGGAACUUGCCUGAUGGAGGGGGUAACUUACUGAAACCGGUGCUAAAAACCGAAUAUCUUCGCAAGCCCAAGGUGGAGUACUUUAGGGCGUUUUGCCAGUGACUGAUCCCAGUUGGGAUUAGCUAGUAGGUGGGGUAACGGCUCACCUAGGCCACGAUCCCUAGCCGGUCUGAGAGGAUGACCAGCCACACUGGAACUGAGACACGGUCCAGACUCCUACGGGAGGCAGCAGUGGGGAAUAUUGCACAAUGGGCGCAAGCCUGAUGCAGCCAUGCCGCGUGUAUGAAGAAGGCCUUCGGGUUGUAAAGUACUUUCAGCGGGGAGGAAGGGAGUAGAGUUAAUACCUUUGCUCAUUGACGUUACCCACAGAAGAAGCACCGGCUAACUCCGUG